GCGCCAGCUUUCGCUGGGAGUCGGUUUCUCUACGCGGGUCGUCCCAAGUUCUUAGGCCUUCUGGAGGACCGCCUUGUGCGUGGAGCCAGGAAAGCCCGAAUCCUAGCAUAGUUGGUAGACACCGGCGCAACGUGGUGAUAACUGCAGGAAGCAGCGGUGCCGAUUGGGGCAAGGUUUUUUUUGUUGUUGCUUUUUUAAAUUAGCAUAGGUUUGCCACAAAUAACACUAACCAGCUGGUUGUAGCCAAGUAUGUUCAGUAGGCUUUAAAACAUGGAGAAAUCUGGGGUAAAGACCGAAGAAGAUGGAGAAUUAAUGUGUCGGACGAUGUGGCUGAAAUCUAAGAGCGUCGUAGAGCAUGGUGACUUGUCAGAUCAAACAAUGGAGUUCCUAUUGCCAGUUUCUGAACCAAAGCAGGUGAUGUACAUCUUUUACUAAAGAAGCCAAACAAGAAUCACACAGUCAAUAUGAAGAUGCUGAAAUAUUCCUAAAUCUCACAGACAAACAAGGACCACUUGGGCUGUGGAGGGUAUUACAUUUUUGUUAUAAGACAGCCGAAUGUCUCCAAAGGAGAAGCAUAUUGAAUUUAGUUAUUCAUACUGUCUUUUCAAAGAAAUAGUUUCAAAAAUUUAGGAAAGCCAGGCUUGGUACGUAUGCG